GCUGUGGAGGCGGUGCCGGCGGGCGCUGGUCGCGUCCGCCCGCCGAGAACCGCGGGGCGCAAAGCCUUCCUGAUGUGUCACCAGCACGUGGAGCCAGGUCGGGUCGUGCGAGCAAGCUGAACCCCCAACUUUCGAGGGGGUCUCGCUACUGUGUUCUCGUCCCAGUCGCGCCAGGCGCGCCCCCUUCGGGGAUGGAGCACCGACAGCCCCCGGGUCUGGGGCAGGGGGAACGAGGCCGGGGUUCCGGGCCAGAUGCGCGCGGGCCGCCCGAACGUCGGGGCGCGGAGCCCUGGCUUGAGGCUGAGCCACCAGGGUCCUGGCGGCGGCGCGGACUCGGCGCGCGGAGGGCGUGGCCCGCGGCGGGCUGGGGGUGCCUGCGCCCCAGCCCUUCAGCCCUUCAGCCCUGGCCGGCGCCCCUCGGAGCCGAGCUCAGGAGUGCACUUGUGUGCACAGGCGGCUGCUGGGCCCAGGAAGAUACUCCCAGAAUGGCAGUUGUGACACACUUCCCAGGAGGUCAAGUUUGGCUCUCAACCUGGCAAAUGUACCUUCUCUUUUUGGUUCUACAAGAAUGACUUCCUGGCAGUCUUCUCUGGCCUCCCAUCUGGCUGACUCCUGUUGGGAUGGAGGUUCUGGAUAGGAAAGCCUGCAGUCCUUGCCUCUUUACCCUGGAUUUCCUUGUGAUCCAGGCCACUAAAGCCCAGGGCCCAUGGAGGCACCUUUCCCUUCCAGAGCCAAGGAUAGGGCUUCUCCUGUUAGUCUAGACCCAGUAGGUCUAGGUUCAUGCUGGUCCUGGGCCACUGUGACUCCUGCAGAGCGCCUCCCCCAACCCCACUCCAGCCCAUUGCCUUGGGGUAGACACCCAGCAUGGGAAGGAAGGGCUUUGAAUUUGGCUUGACUAACGGGGAAGCAAUUGGUGCAUUCUUUGUUUUGACUCAUGUCUAAUAGCAGACAUCUGUAAUCUCUGUAAUUCUACAGAGAAGCGGCCUUGGGCUUGAGUGAGGGGGGAUCCAUCUGUUCCAGGUGACAUGGCUCACUCUUACAAAGUUGUCUGGAUAUGGGAAAGGUGAUGACCCAUUUUUCUGAUGAUACCUCUUUCCCCUAUCCUGGAUCUCUGGGGUUCAGGUGGGGCCAGCUCCACCCACUGGCUUUGGACACAGACAUCUGAUCCAGGCCUGCCCACAGGCUCCCCCAGGGACUUGUAUAACAGCCAUGGGGAAAGCUUUCUCUUUCUGUGGGAGUUGCUAAGUCCACAGGAUAUAACCUUGAAGCUGCGAUAGCCACUCUGUUACCCAUUUGAGGAUGAAGCCAACAAAGAGGGAAGAGAACUAAGAUGGACAGAGUACUGUCCAGAUCUGCCACUUGCUGCCCAGGAAGCUCCUGAAUCCAGCCAUGCUGGAAGCCAGCUGUACCCCUGGACUACCCUGAUUAUGUGUGCCAGCACUUUUUAAAUUUUUCCCUUCCUUUAAAACCAGACUGAGUUAGGUUUCUUAUCAUAGAAAGCCUUCUAAUGUAGGAAGUGCUUUUCUGUGGUCUUGCUUUUUUUUAAAAGUCCGCUUUAUUGAGAUGUACUUCACAUGCAGUGGAAUCACCCCCUUUAAGCAUACACAUCAUGAGUUUUGCAUGAUGCACCUUUAUAACUACCACCGCAAUUAGAUGCAGAGUAGUUCUUUUUCUUCCCAAAAAGUGCCUUAUCUCCCUUGAUGGUCAGUCUCCCCUCUCUCAGAGAACCACUGACCUGCUUUUCUAGAGAUUACUUUGGCCUUUCUUCUAGAGUUUCCAGUGAGCACUCCAUGUUUGGUUUCUUUUUCUCAGCAUGUUUUUGACACAUCCUUGUCCCAUGCAUCCGUGGACCAUUCCUCUUACUGCUGGGGAGGAUCACAUCACGUGGGUGUGCAUCUGUGCUCAGCCAUGUACAUGAUGCACAUUUGAGCUGUUUGUAGAUUUUGGCUAUUAUAAAUAAAGUCAUUUUGAAAGUGUCAUGUAUCAAUCUUUGGGUGAAUGUUUUGACUUUUAUGCAUCAGGCUCAUUUUUCAGUUGAGGCAGUAAGUUUGGAUAGGUAGAUUGUUUUGUUCAGAGCCAUAUGGCUGAUACUCCCGGUGCUGGCACAGUGACCCAGAGUGGGGAGCAGGAGGGUGGAACACCGUGUUCCUUAACAAAGGGAAUGCAGAGCUGCUCGGCAAAGGGGCCUUUGGGUUCCUGGUUCGCAGUACCCCUUCAGACCGGUGUUACAGUGUAUCUGUGUCGUGCCCCCCCCCAAUGGAUUCCUAGGUUUGAAAGAUAAAGUCUAAAUAGGCUGCAGUCAUGAAGCCAGCAUCUGUUUCCCCCAGUAUACUUAAGAUGUAUCCAGAACUGGCACUCACUGUGUGCUGUGAGCCAGGAGCAAGAGGGGCUGAAUCAUUCCAGCCAGAAACAAAGAAACCUUUUUUUGGCAGGGGGAGUAGCUCCAGCUCAUUACAGAGGCUUUCCAGAAAUGUAGAGUUUGUCAGGUUGGUUGUCCCACUAAGUCCCUUUCACACAUGCUCCAGCUGGCUCUCCUGUGUGGACUCUGCCUGUCAGCCUUUGGAGGUUAUGGAGUAUAUUUCCUUGAUACUCAUUCUGGGAACUCCUUGAGUCAUUUCCCUUGGGACUCUGAGCCACCUUUGGUCCAAGUGUGCUAAAGCCAGAGGUAUGUGUGGACCUCCUCGUUUUGGGAGCUGACCUUUUCUUUAUUUGAGCCAGCUUGCAACUGAGCAACCUGGUACUGCGGUUUUGCUGUGACAUCACCCUUCCCACUUCUGAGACCUCCAGGCAAAAUAAGCUGGCAGCCAACCCACUUUUCCCACUUGGGACCUGAUUGUGUACUACGUACUCUAUGUGUAUUUUCUCCAGGCCUCUCAUCAACCAUAGAGGUAAUGCAUUCCCAGUUAAGUAUAAAGGAAACUGAGGCACGGAAGUCAGCUGAGAUGCAGUUGUGUCACAUACUUACAUCGAGUAUGUCUUCCUGAAGGCGUUCAGCUCCUUCUGUCCACCAGACUCUUGGAUACUUACUGUGCUGUGGACAAGGAUUCUAGGUGUCCCAUGUGCUUCACCCCAAGCUGACCUGCUUUUUUGAGUCUGAGUCCCUAGUAGACUUCAGUGCCGAAUAUGGGACUGGCUCUCAAGUGACUGCCAACGAGGCUGGCGAAGGCAACCAGCAGCGCAGGGGACUUCAUUCUCAGGGAUGAAAUUUGAGUAAUAGGAGCUGGGAAGGUAGACUCCUGUGCUCUUUUGGUGUGGCAUUGUGACACCUUGCAGAAUUUGCCAUCCUUCACCUCCUCACUCCUCUGUUCCCUUGCUCUUUCUUUCUGGGAUUCUCCCUGCACCUUGAAGCACAGCACUUAAUCCCUUGCCGAAGGCUGUUUCCGGGGGGACCAGUCUAGUUCCAGGUCUGCACUGUACUGCUUUAGUAAACCCUGGACUGAAAGAUAGAUGUGUGGACUGCAAAUAAAUUACAUACUCAUGAAAUGGGGAUGGGGAAGUAAAGAGACAAACAGUGGUGCUAAAUUCAGCAGCCACUAUUUCCUUUCACUUUUUCCCUUCCAUUCACGAGGUCUGGUCAAGUCUUCUCUGAACCCCCAACUUACUUCUCAGUCUGGUAGAAUUGAAUCAAUACUUUAAUUCUCCUAAUUCACUAAGUAUGUGACACUCGCAAGAUAGCCUCUCUGAGCUGGUUUUCCCAUCUGUAAAAUGGGGAUUAAAAUCUCAUGACACAGGACUACUGAGAGGGUUAACUUGGUUCUGAGCAUGGUACAUGGAUGUAGGAGGCUGUGUUAAGGCCGUCUGUUCAGCAUCACCUUUUUUUUUCUUUUGGAGACAGGGUCUCUAUGCAGUUCAGGCUGGCCUUGAGCUCACUUUGUAGUCCAGGCUGGUCUCAAACUUGUAAGGAUCCUCCUGCCUCAGCCUCCCGAGUGCUGGGAUUACGUGAGCCACCACGCCUGGCUCAGCAUCACCUUUUUGAAAGCCAGCCUGUUCUCUUUGAAACUAUACCUCUUCUGAGCUGAGUCACCACUGGAUAAGUGGUACUGUUCCCUCGUCCCAUCCCCAGCUGUCAGAUCCAGGCUAAUACACACAUCCUGUGUUCUGAUCACAAGAAUUGCCAAAAACCUGGGCAUGGGACCUGAGUCCAGCCAGCCAUUGAAACAGUACCCCAAGGUUUUGCUGGAAUAGUGAGGAUGGAGGUACCUUGGAGCUACUAGGGACCAUGUUUACUGUUUGAUCUUUUUAGAGUGAAGUUAGAAAAGUGAAGCCAAAAGAUGAAACAGGAUAACUGACAGAGUCCUGAUGAUGUCUGUGCUAUAGGGCCUGGAUCAAGCUAUACCAGAACUCAGCACGUUUUAUUUAGGGAUGAAUACAUUCUGUAGAAUUUUUUUUAUUGGCUUAUGCCAAUUCAAGUUGAGUUUUUGUUACUUAAAAUUGAAGUGGUCCUAAGACAGUAGAUUAUUUAUGAAUGAUUACUGCUAUUCUUGUGAUUAAUUGUAAACACAUUUUGGGUAGAUGUAUCUGUAGGAAUGCAUAGGCCAGGUUCCCAGAGGCUGCUCUUAUCCUCAUAUGUGAGGCCCUGGAUGAAGGCAGGAGGCAUGUUGGUCCACGUACUGCUGAUCCAUUGCCAGUGUCUGUGUCAGGCAUAUGGCAGGUGAAUAAUAACCAUAUGUUGAAUGAACAAUGAACUGGGCUUGUGCAUUGUCUCCUCCAGUGUGUCCUGCCUUCCAGACCCCAUGGAAGGGGACAAACUUUGUUCCCUGUUUGUCUUUCACUGACUUCUGAGCUCACUAGAGUGGCCACCCAGGAGUCCAUCUUGGUAAACUGAUGUCCUGUUUUUAUAAUUUCAUAAUUUUCCUAUAAAGUGUUCUUUCUGGAGCCUCAUUUAUUCCUAUUCCCAUUCAUUUAUUCAACUGCAAGUUUUUUUUUUAGUGUGUCCAUUUUGUGAGGUACCAGGGAGAGAUGCAAAAAGAAAUAGUUCUUUGCCUGCCUUCAGGGAGCUUCUGUUUUAGUGGCAUUGUAUGCUGACACUUUUGGUUCAGUGAGGUUUUUCUAGAUAUUUGGAUUACUUGCUCACAUACUUUUAUAACCAAAACAACAAACUCUAAGGGGAUUGUUUGGUCUUAAGCUAAGUUGCAACAAAUGCGGUGGGUGGGUGGCUCUGGGGUUCUGAGGCAAGUGCCCACUGUCUGCAGAGCUUUGACAUCAACUUUCUGAGAGAAGCUCAUGCCAACCUGGAAUUACAGACUUACGGAUAGAGGCUCAGAGAAGCAGUUCACUGAGCAGAAAGGGGAUCUGAAUCCAUCUUUGUGUUGUAUCAGGGAGCCCUGGAAGGGGGUCCCCCCUGAAUUUAUAAAAUGCCUUAACUGACAGUGGGUGAUUAUGUAUAGUGUCUCGUAGAACUGUGUGAAUAUCCUUGAGGCUCUUUCCACAUUCUCCCUUGGAUAACAGUGACUCAUUACAUUUCCCACACCUCUCAUCUUGACUGUGAGUCAGAGCUUCCUGUUGCAGGCAUCUUCCAUUUCUAUACCCUGCACUUUGUACCAGGCACUGACCCCUGAAAACCUCAGUGCCUUAAGCAUGUGUUAGUUUUGUUCUUCAGCAUCCAUUCUCUCUUCCUGUUUGGUCCUGGAUGUUUCUGUAGGGAUUUUUUUUGUGUGUGUGUGUUUUUGUUUUGUUUUUUUGAGGAUGUGUUCAGUCAUGUGGCAUUGGUUGUGUUGUUUUGUUCUACUUUGCAGUGCUGAGAAUUAAGCCCAAGGUGUAUUGCAUGCUAGGCAAGCACUAUACCCUAGAACUACAUCCUUGGGCCUUUUUAUUUUGAGAUACUGGCUUGCUAAGUUGCCCAUGCUGGACUCAAACUUUUGAUCCUCCUACUUAGACCUCCUUGUAGUUAGACUUACAGAUGCGUACCAUCAGGCUUGGCUUGACAACCAAGUGGUCACACGAUCCUAGUGAAGCCAAUCAUAGUUUGGCUCAUCCUGGAUUGGUCAUGUGAUCUAAUCAGAGCUAUUCCCUGGAACAUUGUGAAUUCUCUCCCAUGGAUCAUGUGCUAGGUGAGUAUCUAACUCUGGAGCUGCCAAAGGCUUUGGCUGGGAACCUGAGAUAAUAAAGUUCUGAAAUUGGCCUGCCCAGAUCAGACCCCUCUGUCUUUCUGUCUACCUUACACAGGGCAGUAGGUUUCUAACCCCCUUUUAACCUUUUAAUUAGAAUAAAACAGGAGUCAAAUCAAAUAGAACAAAAGAAUUUAUAUACUUUUUGGGAAAGGGUACUGGGGAUCCAACUCACGACCUUAUGCCUGUCUGCCAAGCAGGCACUUGGGCCACUGAGCUAAAUCUCCAGCCUCAACAAAAGAAUUUAUAAAGGAAAUCCCCAGACUCUUGCCUUAUUCUUUCUUUUUCACCCCUGAUUCACUCUGAAGGCAAAUUAUUUCACAUAUUUCUUUUGUGUUUUAGGUGAUGGAUUACUCUGUAACUCUGGAUAAUAUACUACUGACCUGGUUUUAUGGGGGGGGGUUGUUUUUAAUUUAAUUCAGUGUUGAAGAUUGAACCCAGGCUGCCUCAUUCAUACAAAGGAAGAACUCUACCACUGAGCUGCAUCUGCUAUUUUUUUCUUUUGGGGACACAGUUGCACUAAAUAGUGUACACUGCCCUCAAACUUGUGCUCCUCCUGCCUCUGUUUCCCAAAUAGCUGGGCUCACAGGUACCACCAUGCCCAGUUUACUUGUGUUUCUCAAUUCGUAACUUCAGACCAACAUUCAUUGAUUUGUCUGUAAGAGCAAGACAAUUUAGCUUAUUCAUAUCCCUGACUUCCUUUUUUUAAAAAGCAAUUAUAAUCUAGCAUAUAUCUGCUGGCUUCCCUUAGUUCUUUGUAAACAUCGAUUCCAUCCCACCCUACUUAGGAUAAGAAGCAUCAAGGAUGUCCCUGCCAUCUCCUCUUCUUAGUCACAUCCAACAUUUGUUGUAGGGUCCAUGUCAUUAUAGUCACAUUUUCUUCCACUUGACAAUUAAGUCUUUGCAUCUUUGGCUACAGGUUGAUUCAAAAUAUGAAAAUCCAAGAAAUAGCUUUCACUUGAUGAGAUUUUAAGUGUCACUUACUUUUUUAAGUGUCACUUACAUUUUUACCCCUUCAUCCCCUGCUAGUUUGAUUUGGGUUUGUUGGGUGUGGCUACCAUGUCCCAAACACCCACUCAGAUUUUACUGAAUUACGACAAAUGUGUCCAUGUGGCUUCACUGCACACAGGGAAGGCUCCCCAAGCUGGUGUGGCCUGAGGUCUGCACUGUUAUAUGGAGUUUUGAGCUCAGGAUACUAUCCAUGGGCUAAUUCUCUGUGGUCACUGUCUUGAAACUGUUAAUGAUUUUUAACCAAAGGAGCUGCACAUAAUAUAGUGAUCCAGAGUUCACAUCUUGCUGAGAGAGGCCUGAACUUUCCAAGAAACAGUUCCUCUGUUCAACAUCUGUCAGGCACUUGAGAGGGAAAAUGGGCUCCAUAGGCAGGUCCUGAAACAGCCAUGGAAAAUCAAGUGAGGAGCCAUGGGCUCUGAGUUCCUUGCUACAGUGUCCAAACCUUGGUCAUUCUGGUGUGAGGGAGAUAGGAUUAUCCUCAUUUAGAGACAAGGGUCUGUCCAAGUCUCAGUGCUUACUAAUGACAGAUUCUAGAUUCAAGUUGGAGCCUCUGUUUCUAGACUCACACCUUACUUCUUCCACCAUGCUACCUGCAGAACCAUGCUGCCUAUGACGAUGCAGACUCGAGGUUGAGUUGUCUAUGUGUCCUACCCCUGAUGAGGGACUUACUUUCUCUGACCCACUUCCCAGGGGCCCAUUGAGAUAGAUGAUCAAUUUUUAAAGUUACUUUCAGACAGAAUCACUCGGUAACCCCCAAAUUAGAGGAGGGGAAUCUUUAUAGAUGAGUCCAAAGAAUCAAUGCAAAAAAUGAAAUAGAAUGGUUUUUUUUUUUUAACUUUUCAUGGGUAUCUGGGAUCAAACUCACAACCGCCUGCUUGCAAGGCAGGUGCUUAUGCCACUUAGCUAAAUCCCCAGCCCCGAAUGUAUUGGUUUUUUAUAAAUUGCUUGAAGCAUCAGCAGUUUACAAGUGGCCUGUCAUCAAGAGAGAAUUGGGCACUACAUGCCUCCUGAUAGAAGAACUCAAGGGACAGCUAAUGACAUAGUCUUACCCGAACCAAAGCCAAGGACUUGAAUCUGAUCAAGCUUCUGCUUCUAACCAUCAAUAUACAGGAAAAACAGAGGAUAGAGGAACCUGUUAAAAUAUAAUACAAGGCAACAAUCUUCCAAAUCCAGACAGCACCAGAUGCCACAAUAGCUAGCAUCUUCCAAUAAAGAAAUUAACCAGAGACCAAAAAAAAAAAAAAAAAUCUCUAGACUAAAAAAAGACACAAAGACAUACUGACCAAUCAUAAUGUGUAGACCUUACUUAUACCUAAAUUUCAACAAAUGAUCAUUCAUUAUGUGAUCAUUAAAGGUCUGAAGAUUGACCAGAUUUUUUUUGGGGGGGGGGGAUACUGGGGAUCAAACUCAUGACCAGGCAGGCCCUUAUGCUUCUGAGCUAAAUCCCCAGCCAUUAGGUUGUUGCUAUUGUGGUUUGUUUUGUUUUGAAAUAAUAAUAGGAGUUACUACUUUUUUGGUGUGAUAUGGUACAGAUUAUGGUUCUUUGAGUUUUAGUAAGAAACAAAUCUUUCAGAAACACACAAAAAUAUUUAUGGGUGAAAUAAUGCCAUGCCUGGUUUGUUUCAAAAUAAGACUUGGGAGAGGAGGAUGGGGGAGUGUGGAUCUGGAUAAAGCAGGAUGACGGUGGCCUCAAUUGAGUGAUAGAGAUGUGGGGUUGUUACCCUAUUGUCUCUUUUCAUGUAUAAGUUUCCAUUUGUAGCAGAUGCCUUGCAGCCUGUGGUAGGGAUCAGGGUGGGAUAUCUGGGGAAAGAUAGCCAGGCCUUUGCAGAGCAGGGGGAGGGCACUGAUCUAAAGGACACUGGUCUUGUCUCUCCUUCACCACCUCCCCUGGUCAAGCUGGGCUGUGCACUGUUGUGGUCACUUAUGUCCAGGUAUAGAUUAAAAAGGUGGCUUUCUUUAUGUUUGAACCUGUAUGUUCACAGGACACGGUAGUUAUGGAAUUCUGCUUCCACCUUCCAAGCCCAAUUUUCCACUCUGUGGUCUCCUUAGCCAUCUGGCUGCCAACAAGAGAAGGAGAAGGUACAGCAGGUGGUGGGAGCUGCAGGGCAUUCCCAGUGCCUUUCCCACAGCCUCCAUGUGCUGGCAGUGUGGCCCUGGCCAAGCCAGGGUGGAAGGAUUUGGAAGAUCAAGGGGCUACUCCCAGGAGGUGAGUGCUCCCAAGGGGAGUGAGCCCAGAGUUCCUUGGUGUCCAAAUUGCUGUGUGACCAUGACAAGACCUGGCCUGGGCCUCCCUAUGCCACAGGAGGCAGCUUAGUAUCUUUUGGUGGGGUGCUGUCACUCUUUGGGGAGGGACAGUGCAUCCUAGUUAGCGUUGCUGGACCCCUCCUGUUAAAUGCUGGCCACAGCGCCCAUCACUGUGGCAAUCAAGAAAAGACCUACAUGUUUCCAACUGCCUCUGACUUAGGGACCUCUGCAGGUCAUUAAGAUCCUUGCCAGUUCCUUAGUCUGCUACAUCUGUGCAUUUUGAGAAUGAAUUGGAGAAGAAUAGAAACUGUUGAUGUUGCCCACAGUCUUGCAAGGACAUGAAAGCAUGCUGAGUCUUGAAGUGUAUCUAGAAGUUUGCAAGGUAAGUAAGAGAUGUGACAGAGCAAGAGGGGCUCAGUACCCUCCGGGGGAAGGAUCAACUCACAGGGCCAGAGACAUAAAAGAAAAUGGAGUAUUUAGGAGAAUGUGGAACUUCCCAGCAGCCCCAAGGAUUGACCAAGACGGUAAAACCGAGCUUCAACUUACAGACAAUAGGAAACUUUUGGGGCUUUGCAACCGGGGCAGAAUUGACUUUCCGCUCCUGAGCAGAAGUAGGUUUUCCCGCCCUAGUCCCUCUGAACUGAGAAAUCACUGAUGCCUACCUGUGGAUCAGGAAAAUGUCUUACUCCUCCUGGAAGAGCUGCUAAAAAUUUAACUGCACAGCUGGAAUUUCUGUCCCAGUGGGAGAGCAAUUUGAAGGUGACAGGAGUGAGCUGCUUCAACUUAUUAAGCUGUGCAAGAUCCCUGUGUGUGUGUGUGUGUGUGUGUGUGUGUGUGUGCGCAUGCAUGUGUGCAUGUACCUAUGAAUGUGUGCCUAUAUUCCUUUCCUUGUUCAGUAAACUCUGACACAUGCCUCACACCCGUGGAGCAUGUGGUCCAGUGGCUGAGAAAGAAAUGAAUGAGAAAACAAAAUGAAAUGUGCUCCAGAAGCUAAGGGUGAGGUUACUAGGGUGGGGAUGGCGGAUGUUCCAAGAGGAGGGGAGAACCUACUGGCUGGGGUGGUGGCACAGAUGGCUCAGAGCAGACUGCAUUCGGAUUAAGCAUUGCCAGUGGGCAUGUGCUGGCCAGGGCCACCACACUGCCCCUUACCGGGCCUCUUUUUGAUGGAUAGAGGCUGCAAGGUUCCUUUUGCUCUCCCCUACCAGAACGAGUUGGUGACUCCAGCCAGCUCAGAAGAAUGUCCAUUCCUGCAGUUCUUGGAUAGAAUGACAUUGAUGGCUGGAGUUCCCUGGCUGCAUCCUGCCACAGAUUCCUGUCCCAGAUCUGUCUGCCCUUCUUGUCACGUGGCCCAUGGAGUCCAGUUUUCCAGCAUUCCCAUCAGUUUUCCUCUGGGCAGAUCUGUGAGGGUCUUCUUUCUGACUUUUUAAUGAAUAAGGGUUCUAGAAGAGCAGAGGAAUUAGGAAAAUCCACUUCGUAACAGACUCAGCAGAAGCUGUUGAGCUUCCUGGAGCUGGGCCCUUUUCCACGGUGCGCGCGCGCACACCCAGGCACACACUGGACCCUCCGAACGCUCCCUUCUGAGCAAGAGCAGGACAGAGUGCGGCCCUGGCGGGCCUCCCAGGGAGGAAAUGCCAGCCGCGUUUCUUUAAGCCUCACUCAGCCUCCCUGGGGACCCUGGGGCCGCCCCAACGCUUCCUCUGAGGCCUUGUCAGGCUGCACGCCUGGUCCGCCCCGGGUGGGCCUCCGGCAGGGGCCUGUGACUCAGGGCUCAGUCAGGCAGAGGCAGGAUGUCCGCGCCAUUCACUGGGCCACGAGGAAUCUCGCUCUUCUAUUUAUAGGCAGCGCGAUGACUGGGCCAGCCUGGCUGGAGGAAGUGGCCGCUCCUGCCAUCGAGCCAGGGGAGUGGGGCAGUGACUCAGGAACCAGGACGUGCCACUCCCUGUGCCUGCCCAGGGUGACUUCCAGGUUCAGGCUAGCUUUCCACUUCAGGGUAACCACAGCAGGACAGGCCAGUUCAGUGACACUGUAUGGCCACGGGACUCAGCAGCUGAGCAGUAAGAUACGGGUACUGAGCGGGAGAUAUGGGUACCAUGACCACGAACCUAGGUUACUUGUUCUUAGGAAACUAAGAUCUGUACGAAGGGCUGUCGUGGAAGUUCUUCAGUCUUCAAGAAGUUCAUAAUGUACGCCUGUUCAACAGGAACAAAACUGGCACCCAGAGUGCUUACGGGACAGUGGUACCUCAGUUCCCCAGCACUUUUGUCUGCAAACAAUUUGAUUUGCAGACAGAAAUAUUUGGCAAAAUUUGUUUUCAUUUGCAAGCUCUGUGUCUGGUGACCAACACAGCCACUGCCACGUUUCCCACAUAAACAGACGUGCCCAUCUUUUUCAAACUCCUAGAACAAAUUAAGUUCGUGAACCAAGGGACCACUGUACUUGCCCGCCUUCAUGGACAAAUACAAGUGAUCAAAAAACAGUGAAUAUUUACAUUAAGAGUUUAUUAUAGUAGAAUACAUAUUGCAUAUCAAUAUCAUCCCCCUUGCUUUGGACACAUUCAUCCCACCAUACCUGCCACUCCAAAGCCGUUCUGUAAGUUCUCUAUUCUGUCUUUACAAGGUACAAUAAUCAAUGCUACAGCACAUGCUGCAGCGAGUGCCAUCCAACAGAAAGGCAGGCUCAUAAAAUGUUAUAAUACACUCUAAUCCACCUUAUUCAUGGGGUCUGGCACUGACUCCUAGUUCUCCCUCAAAGUCAAAAUUACCAUGAAUGGUUAGUAUUUUGAAUCAGUUCAGGACCUGAAGCAGCCACAACAGUGCAAGUGAUGAUGAUACUCAUGCAAGAGGGCUUCCAGAGCUGCUUUGCAAAGUGGCCAGAACAAUGUGAUAAGUACGUUUGAAGGGAGGGGGAAGAGUCUGAGGAUUAAUGGAGAUAAAACUUUUACUGUAAUGAUUUUUUAAAAAUUAAGCAUUCACCAUGUUUCAACCAUACCUCUCAUGUCCUCUGUGUAAAGUGUGUAGAGUGGGAGCUGGCCAUUUGUGGGAGGGGUGUGGUGAUGGGUAGGGGACUACUUUGGCCAUUGUUAAUUUGAUGCCAUCCCUCAGUAGGCAUGGCUGUCUACAAGGCUGACCUGAGUUCUCAGCUGAGCCUGUAUCUCUGACUGAGUUGAAGGAUGGUUAUGUUUGUUUUCUGAACUGGACAGAGUCCCCUAAAGUUCUGAAAGAGAGUCUCACUCCUCCUGUAAACCCCUCACUCACAACAUGCACAUAUACUUAGGGUUUAGUAUCUGGCAGGUGCUUGGUCGAACCCUUUCCGCCCAUCCUGCGGGCCCUCACACUCUGUCUUUGCUGGUAAUAGCCCUUCUGGUGUCUCUGCCGCAUGGGGUCAAUAUACAGGACAGAUACUCAGAAAAUACAGAGGACCUGGCUUCUAGGAGGCCAUGGACUGGGAGCCAGGCUGGGAAUUCCAAAUCUUCUGUCCCCACGUUCUUUGGAUGGAUCCAAAUUCUUGAUCAGCAGACCCUUCCAACAUAGCCCACUUGGGACCAGUUCAGAGGAUACCAGCCAGGGGCUGCAGUAAAUAGUGCAAAUCUGCCCUGGCUGUUGGGAAAACCCUUAUUCCUUCCUUUGUGUUCCUUGGAGCAGGCUCCCCAGUGCUGAGUACCUUCCUGAACCCAGACCUGACCACUCUCCCAGGGUCGUGUGACCACCUGCUUGCUGGUCCACUUGCAUGUCUGCUGGGCCAAGGGUACGGUUGUCUCUCUCUGCCUCGCUGACUCUGGAGAAGCUGAGCUCAGGGAACCUCUCCACAGCCAGAGGGAGGUAAGGAGAGCGUGGCAGAGCCCGGGUCAAUGGGAGGCUGUGCUCACUGCCUGCAGCCCCAGGGAAGCCUCUCCUGGCCUCUCCCAGCAUCCCUGUCUCCAUCCCUCAGCCCCUUCUUCUGUGCCACUGAUUAGCCUUGAGACUCUCCCCACAGCUCACCCGUAAUGGGAGGAAGUGUGACCAGAGAGGACAGGGAGCACUCCAGAUGGGACUGGAGUGCAGCCCCUGGACCCUGUCCACUGAGCCUGCUGGACAGUGCCUAAAUGACAUCAUUUUCGUGUACUUAACACAAGGUAAACCGGGGAAAGUCCAAGUACUUAUUAUCUAACUUGGCAGCAGCCAGCUGCUGCCUCCUUAACGACCGGUUUCCUGGGGUUCUGGUAUCCUCACACAGAGCCCAGAAAGCACGCCUGGGCCGUGCUGGGGGCUUUGCAGUUUUCCCUAUUAGUUGAGAGAACUUGGCCUGCUGAGGCCCAGGCAUCAGGGCAGGGAGUGCGGUGCAGUAGAAACUUAAAAAUGUAUGGUCAGGUUCUGGGAUUCUAGUAACCAGGUGAGAGGCCAUACAGAGAAACCUCUUCCUCCUCAAAUGCUGGUUCUUCACCUGCAGGCCUGGAGGCAAGAGGAGGGGCUUCCUCCUGUGGAUGUGGCCCAAGGGUAACCACCAGCAGCCAUCAGCAGCCAAGCAACCUCAGAAAAAUGCAUGGGGAACUCGUGACUCCUGCCCUCCAUUCCCCUGGCUCCACAUUCCUUUCCCUGAGAUAAAAGAAGAACCUUUCAAAGAGCCUAGAAGAACAGAAAGUUCCUGGUGCUACUCAUACUCAGGGCUUUCUCUUGCAAAGCAAACCCCCAUGAAUGAUCUGGUAGAUUUUGUUCUCUGCUUUAAAAAAAGACACCACAAAAGAUGACAGCAAUCCUCCUCUUUUUCUAAUGUCAGUUGAGUAAAACACACAGCAGCAUGGAGAAAAGCUGGAGAGGCCUGUAGCCUCGGUUCCUCAUGGGUAUUGGUUUCCCCACUGAUACUGAACCCUAAGUAUCCCAGAGCCUCACUGACCUGUGGGCUCCAGUAACUUCACAUGAAAGGACAGAGUUGCUCUCUCCAAGGCCCCUUCUGUUCCCAGGGGGAAAUAAUGCCUGGCCUCUUGUGUUAUGUGGUCAGCGGGGUAAAAAGGCCUCAAAGAUGUCCACAUCCCACUCCCAGAACCUGUGACCAUGUCACCUUACUUGGAAAGGCAUUUUAUAGGUACGAUUUAAAAAGAGCUUUGAGGUGGGGAGGUUUACCUGGUCGUAGCCGCGGUCCAAGUCUCAGCAUCUUUAAAGAGGGAGGAGGGAGGGGAAGUGAGGGGACCGAGCAGAGGGAGAGGAGACAAGCAAGAGCCCAAGAUCCAGGGUGGCCCCUAGAAGCUCAAACAGUAAGACAACAGAUUCUCCCCUGCAUCCUCUAGAAGGGCCACAGUACACCACCCUGCUCUUAGACUUCUGGCUUUCAGAACUUAAGACAGAAGUUUGUUGUAUGAAGUUUACGGUGGUUUGUUCAGCAGCAAUGGUAGAUGAAUGCGGGUUAGGACAGCUGGAGCCCACAGGCAUCCCAGAUGGCUGUUCUGGCCACCCUGCCUGGUCUCCGUGUCCCUCUUGCUGGGCACAAAGACACAGCUGCCUCCGUUGGUCUCAGGCUCCACAUGGCUUCCUUGAAGAACCACCCCUGCCUGGGGUAUCAGCCUGACCAGCCAGCAGGAACAUGGGCUAUCUUUGAGGAACGGUAGUCCUCUCCCGGCUCCUAAGUGCCUGUUCCCCAGUUCCUAGCACAGACCCCACCCCAGGCUUAGGACCACCCAGAUCAACACCCAAUACCUUGGAUGCCUCUUAGCAGGGAUGUUGAUAGCCCCAUCUCAUCCCAUCUCCAGGAUGUGUGUCUUCUGCCUCCUAAGGGGCCAGCCCCCUCCUGUGGCCCAUUGAGGAGUUUCUUCCUGGAGAAACUUUGACAACAGUCUGUUCUGCAGGCUCACUUAGGCAUUUUUCUUUGAAAGACAUUUUAAACUUUCACUGAAUCACACAAGUAACAAGUUUCCUGAAGGAACAAAAUCAGAAAACAAUUAGGCAAAGAAAACCCCAAAAACAACAACAAAAAAAGCUAAAUAAAAUGAUCUCUAGCCCUUCCUGUCUGGAAAUAAUAAUCCAAUAAUCCACUGCCAACAUUUUGGUGUAUAUCUAACAUAGUAAUCUGACAAUUUGUAAUUUCUGGAAUAUCAUUUCUUUAACACUACCACAAUCCUAUCAUUCCAGCUACUCCAACACAGCUUUUCUUAGCAAAUGUCUGAUGAACUGCAUUCUGUGUCAGCAUACAUGUGUCCACGAUGCUGCUUUUCGUAAUUGUAUAAUUUUUUGCUCACAUGCCUGUGCUAUAAGUAAUAAAGUCAGUUAUUGAAUACUUUUCUUCUUCCAAAACUGUAAACAAGCUGUAAUCCCAGCUUCUGAGGAGGGCAAGGGGAUUGCAAUAUAGCAAGACCCUAUCUCAAAAUAAGAGGAAAAGGACUGGGGUGUAGCUUAGUGGCAGAGCACUUGCCUGGUGUGGGUUCAUUCUCAGGAACACACACACACACACACACACACACACACACAUGUACACACACACUCUCUCUCUGUUGUGAACAAUGUUCUUUUGCACUACCUUCUUUGCCUCAUACAACUUUCCCAGCUAGUUGGUAGGUCAUGUUCCUAGAGGCGCAAUGGCUGCUGGACUGUGCACAUUUUUUAAAUGGCUUUUAGUGCCUGUCCCUGGUCUGCCCUUAAGUCCAGUCCCAUUUCUUACAUGCUCUGGAUUUGACUUCUAUGUUAGCAUUAGCUCACCGACAAAUAAAUGUAGCUAAAUCUGCUCUUUGUAAUUCUCUGGGCCACUUCUCUCCAUUAAUAUGUAUGACUGAAAAAAAUGACUCUAGUUGUCAUUUUUAAAAUGCCAACUAUGUUUUCACCCCAAUGUUCUGCCUGGCUGGCUUUUCCUGGUAGUUUUGGGAAUUGGAUUAAAUUCUAAUUUCUUCUUAGAGUGAGAAGUUCCUGGAUGAAGCCAAAGACUGAAUGAUGUCUCUGAGCCUCAGUUUAUUCACCUGUAAAGUGACGGGUACUUUGUGGAAUUUUCGUGCAGCAUCUGACAUGUGGGGCACUUUCAGCACCUCAGUUCCUUCCUCCUCUCCUGAGACCAGACGGUGUGCAGUGGGGCCUUGACACUGGCACCCGACCCCUCCUGGCCCUUUCUGGCUGUCUCUACACAAAACUGAUGGGCUCCCUCCAGCACAACCCCCAGCUUUGCUCCACCUUAAAAGGUCCUUGAGCUCUCAGAAGGACAGCCAAACAACAGAGCAGAACAUUAGAGAAAAUUGCUGGUCUCAAGUAGACAAAUAAUUUUCAUUUCAUUCUUCCCUCUGUGUUCCACUUUCUCUGUCUCCUUGCUGUCCCUUUUCCUUGAUAAGCCAGGCAUGAGGCUGAUGUUAUUCUUAUGAAUUGUUGAGACAGAUCAUGUAAUAAUCUAGACUGGAGACUGAAACAGUGGUGAAUGCACUGACAUCUCUGCAGCUAUUGUGGAAGAUAAAGCCCGGGCCCCUUCUGGCCUCUCCAUGCUCAAUAGCAGAGGAGCCUCAUCCUCGGGGCCCUCCGGCCACAGCCCCCGCCACAGAGCUCCCCUGCGCACCUCCCCGAGGCUCCAAGUCAGAUGCAGAUGCUGGGGCCCAGCCUAGACCUUCCGAACCAGACUUUUCUGGGGAGUGUUUAGACACUUACAAACAUACAUUGUCUGUUUAACAAAUGACCCUGGAUAAUUUGUACGUGUGUGCAUAUCUGUAAUACAGAAUAGUGAUGUCUGUUUUGGGGAGCUGUCACAUUCAUAUCACAUACCUUGUUUAUUUUCAAUCCUUUUUCCUGCCUUCCCAUCACUCCUCCUUUCCCUAAUCCCCUUGCAACCCCUAAUCCCAAAAGUCUACCUUGAGUUUCCUAUUAUCUGUCCUUUGUUUUAUUCAUUUGUUUAUUUCUUAGCUUUCUCUUAUAAGAGAACAUACGUGAUAUUGAACUUUCUGAUUCUUGCAUAUUUCUCUUAAUAUGAUGGUCUUAAGUUUCAUCCAUUUUCCUGUAAAUGACAUGGCUUCUUUUUUAUGGAUGAAUACUAUUCUGGUGUAUAUAGAUUUUCUUUAUCAGUUCACUUAUGGAUGGGUUGCUAGGCUGUUUCCAGAGCUUAGCAACUGUGAAUUGCAUACCUGUAAACACGAGUAUGCAGGUGUCACUAUGCAAUGAUGUCUUUAAUUGUUUCGAAAAUAUACCCAGGAGUACAGCUAGGUCAGAUGGUAUUGCUGGUUUUCGUUUCUGAGGAAAUUCCAUACUCAUUUCCAUGGCAACUAUACCAGUUUACAUUCCCACCAGCAGUGUAGACGCAUCUGUCCCCUCACUACCCACCCCGUCUUCUUCGGUCUUCACUGAUUUUUUUUCCUUAUUGAAUUAAAUUAAUUAUCUAAUUAAUUUUGAGACAGAGUCUCAUUUGUAGUUCAGGCUGCCCUUGAACUAGCUGUGUCACCCAGACUGGCCUUGAUUUGUGGUGAUCCUCCUGCCUCAGCCUCCCAAGGUCUGGGAUUACAGAUGUAAGCCAUACCCACCUGUACUCGUGUUUUUUGUGUCCUUGAUGGCAGCUAUUCUGAUGAGAGUAAGAUGGAAUCUCAGAGUCCUUUUGAUUCAUAUUUUCCCAAUGGCUAAGGAUGACAAAUGUUCUUUGCAUGUACAGUAUUUACGGGCCAUUUGUCUGUCUUCUUUUGAAAAGUGUCUUUUUACUUCAUUUGCCCAUUUUUUGAACGAGUCAUUUGUUUUUCAGGGUCAUUUAGUUUUUUAUUUUCUUUACAUAUUCUAGAUAUUAGCCCUCUAUUAGAAAAGUGACUAGCAACAAUUUUCUCCCGUUCAGUCGGUUGUCUUUUCUCUCUGGUUGUUUCUUUUGCUGCACAGAAGCUUUUUCAUGUGCUGAUCCCAAUUGUUGAUUCUUACGCUACUUCCUGUGCUGUGUGAGCUCUAUUCAGGAAGUCCUUGCUUGUGCCUAGGCUCCAAGUGUUUCCCCUGUGUAGCUUCCAGCAGCUUCAAAGUGUUUGUUUACGUCUAAGUUCUUGCUCUUUUUUUAUUUGAUUUUAGUCCAGGGUGAGACAUAUAGGUCUAGUUUUGAUCUUUUGCAAGUAGAUAUUCAGCUUUCCCAGCAACAUUUAUGAAAGAGAUCAUCUAUUCUCCAGGGCACGUUUUUGACCCCAAAAGACGUGGCACCCUUGCUCUGUUUUCUGCUCUAUUUUGGUGGUCUGUGUGUCUGUUUUGUGCCAUUAUAAUGUUGGUUUUACUCUUACAGCUCUGCAGUAUAAUUUGAAAUCAGGUAUGGUGAGGCAUGUAACAUUGCUCCUUUUUUUUUUUUUUUUUUCUUUUUUAAGACAAGAUUUUCCUAUGCAGUUCAGGCUGGCCUUGAGCUCACUUGGUAGCUCAGGCUGGUCUCAAACUCACAACAGUCUUCCUGCCUCAGCCUCCUGAGUGCUGGGAUUACAGGCAUGUGCCACCACCAUGCCUGGCUUUAGCACUGUUGCUUUUGUCCAAAAUUUGCUUGGGAUCUUUUCUGAUUCCAUAUGAAUUUUAGGAUUUUUAAAAAGAAUUCUGUGGAGGAUCUUGUAAUUAUUUUAAUAGAGAUCACAUUACAUCUAUAGAUCACUUUUGGUACCAUUUCUGUUUUCAUGAUAUUUCGUUGAAUGCAAGAAAAAAGGGUGCCUCUGUUUCUUUAAAUUUUAUUUAAAGAGGAAAAAAAAGCAAAACAGAAAAAGGGUAAAAAUAAUACAGAAUUUUUUAAAUAAGAAAUCGCUAGUUGAUAAAUUACAUAUUGUCCUCUUAAAAAUAGUUGUUCGACAGAAUUGUUUGCAGUCUCCCUGGUUGAAUUCCCAUUUAUAUGUUUUACUUGUGUAUCUUGAACAACUAUUUAUGGGGGGAAAUAUGUAUACAUCAACUAGUGAUUUAUUACUGUUUAUUUCUUUUCUUUGAAAGUAUGUACUAUUUCUGCCCGUUUUCUAUUUUGUUUUAUCUUUCUUUAAAUAAAAAAAAAAACUAGAAAUAGUUGUUCGAGUACCUCUCUAUUUUUUAAGGUCUUCUUUAUUUUCUUUCUUCAGAGUUCUGCAAUUUUCAUUAUUAGAUGUCUUUUAUCUCCUUGGUUGAUUCCUAGAUAUCUAAUUUUUUUGAAGCUACUGUAAAUGGAUUGUUUUCCUUACUUCUUUCUCAAUGUCCUAGAUUGAGAACGAUAAUAAGAUAAUAUAGUUGGUGUUGCUACUAGAGGGAGAUAACCUAAGUAGUCUUUAGCCUUGCCUACAAUAGAGACUACUAGGGACCUUUAAAACCCCUUGCUCAGUUAGAUCAGAACCCUAAUCUUGAACUGUGUUCAGGAGUCUGACUGUACGCAUCCAGAGUCCAGAGUUCCCACUUGGCUUUGUCACUAACGCAGUGAAUGAUGUCUCUAAGCCCCAGGUUCCAUGCAUACAAAAUGCAGAAUGUGGAAGACAGUUGAAGGGAAGUGUUUUCUGUCCCCCACGUUAGGUUACCUGAGCCAGAAUAUUGAGGAGAGUUCUGAGGCUGGGACACAGGUGCAGAUCAGAGGGUGGUGGCUUGUGUGCCACAGCCACGGAGAUGAGUGCCCCAGCCUAGAGCAUGGGUACAUGAACCCGGAGGUGAAGGGCCCUGGAGGAGCCUUCUGAAAGUUUCCCUAAGAGAAGGCAGUUACUGGGCAGGGUGUGGUGCUGCAUGCCUGUAAUUCCAGUCAUUGUAAUUCCAGGCUAAGUCAGGAGAAUCUGAAGUUUGAAGCCAGCUUGAGCAAUUCAGCAAGACCCUGUCCCAAAAUAAAACUAAAAAAAGGCUGGGGAUGUAGCUCAAUGGUGGAUAUGCCUAAUAUGCAGGAAGCUCUGGGUUCAGUCCCCAGUGCUACCAAAAAAAAAAAAAAAAAAAAUCGUGGGACAUCUGUUAUGAUCUGUGUCUAGAUUCCCAUCCCAUCACAAAGCUUCAUGCAGUCCCAGAGGGGGCUUUGCAGAGGUGUCUGGAUCUAGUGUGUAUGGGACUGGGAACAUGGGUGUGUGAUUACCAGAUCAGUCCACUAUUAGUUUGGCAUAGUCCUGGCUAUGAUUAAGGGGCUGAGUGAGUGCUGCACCCACCCUGGGCAGACAGCCUGCAUACGAUAUAAGGAACAGAAGGAGAGCUAAUGUGUUCUCACCUGCCUGCUGUGGACGGUUUCUCCUCCUGUCAUGUUCCUCUGCCACGCCACCUGCCUUGGAGUCAGCUGACUAUGGACUGAAGCCUCCACACACUGUGAGCCAAAUAACCCUGUCCUCCUUUAACUGUGGGUGCCCAGUAUUUUGCCUCAGCAACAAGAAGAGUAAUUAAGACACUGUUCAGCCAUCCGGAGGGUUCUCCUUUAUGUCAUGCAAGUCUCUUCUGUUGUGAGCUGGAAAUUCAGGCCCAGUGGGAGCUUUACCUCCCUGGCUGAUGAGGAGGAGGCAGUGACACACACACAUCACAGGACUGGGUGAAAGUGACACAGAGUGAAGGAUGUGCCCAGGCCAGCGAGUCCACACUCAGCUUCUCCCCUCCGUCUUCUCCACGGGGAUGGAGCGCUGCUCUCUCUAAAAGCAUUCUGAAGGAUGCUGAGUCAUUUUAUUACAAAGCGGAAAAUGACAAGUGUUCCCUCAGAUGACUGUCUCCGGAGAAGCAGCUAAUAGCAGGGCACAUUUAUCCCAACUCAAUCACAUUUUAGCAUGAAAAUGGAAAAAUUGAUGCUCUGAGUCUCCUGAAGCAUCAAAUAAAAAAAAAUACAUGAAUCUCCUGGUUCUGGAUAAGCAUUUCUUGCCUGGCUCCAAGUUCCAGCCCUGUUAACCGACCAGCUGUUUGAGCUGAGCAAGGUUUUUAAUGCCCUGAACUGUCAUCCUCCCAUCUAUAAAACAUGACCUUCAGGAGUCCUACUUGGGCCUGGCACUGUCCUGUGUUGUUGGGGGGGGAAUGGCAGUCUGUUGCCUUCUGAGAGGAGUGGGGUAAUGACUAGUAAAAUCACACAUGGUUACCAUUUGACCUAGCAAUCCUAAUUUUAGAAACCUAUCCCCAAACCACAGUGGCAAGGCUAUAUCCAGCAAGCCACUUGUUACAGCAAAAUUUGUACUGGCAAAAGGCUGGAAACCACUCACAUAUCCAUCAGUCAGGGCCUGGUUAGUCAGACUAUGACUCAUCUGCACAGUGGAGUACUAUGCAGCUAAUAAAGGGAAUGAGGAUUAUUUCUGUGUGUUGAUUUGGGGUGGUCGCCAAGAUAGAGGGGUACAUGAAAAAGGUAAAAAGUGGGCUGCAGUUUGGCUCUGUGGUACAGUGUGCCUAGCAGGAAUGAUAAGGCCCUAGGUUUGAUCAGUAGCACCACAAAAGUGAAAAACAAAAACGAAAAAGAAAGGAAGGAACUAAGGGAGGGAGGGAGGGUGGAGGAAGAGACAGGAGGGAAUGAAACACACACACACACACAGGCACCACUUACAUACACAAGUUUUUUUUAAUUGAAAGGAUUUUCAAAAAAAUGAUUGCCUAUAAAGAGAGGUAGAAAAUAGCAGAGGGCCGGGGGCUCAGCAGCAUAAGUGCUUGCAUGGCAGAGAUCAAGAGUUUGAUGCCUGGUACCAAGAAACCAAAACAAAAAAACAAUAGCAUAGACAGGCAAAGAGAAAGUCUGUACUUCUCUGAAAGUGGUUCAUAAUGCAUGUGUUUUAAAUCUUCUAUAACGACUUUUUAAAAAUGCUUGUUCUUGUUGGGAAUAGUGGCACAUAUUCAUAAUCCCAGCAUUUGGAAAGGCUGAGACAGGAGGAUCACAAGUUCAAGCCCAGACUGGGCGACUUAGCAAGACACUGCCUUAAAAUUGCAGGGUGGUGGUGGGAGCCUGGGGACACAGCUCAGUGCAAAGGCCCUUGAUUCAAUCCCUAGUACCAUAAACAAAUGAGAAGAGGAAGGAAGGGAGAAAGAAAGAAAGAGAAAGCAAACAUGCAAGCAAGCUAGGCAAAAUAGGAAGAGUGGAGGAGAAAAAGAAAGAAAACCUUGUUCUUUUCGUCUCUCACUUGCCAGCAGACCCUACAGUAUAGAGCAGAGCCAGUACCAACCUAAAACCCGACCCUGGACACGUGAGACAGCAUCCUGAUGAGAUGCUUGGCAUCUGUUUGUUCCAUGCCCACCCUGACUGAUGCACAGUCCUGCCCUUCACCUUCCAGCUCUGACCUUGGGCUUUCCCUCCUGGCUGGAAAGGUCUGCACUCACCUCACAGAGGACUUGUCUCUAGCUUGAUCUCCAGUGUUUCUUUUAUAUUCUCAAGGAGAGCUGGGCAGGGUUGCGUACACCUGUAAUCCCAGCACUCAGGAGGCUGAGGCAGGAAGAUCAGAGGAUUGCUAUGAGUUCAGGAAUAGCUUGGGUUACAUAAUGAGUUCAAGGCCACCCUGUACUACAUAGCAAGACUCUGUCUCAAAAACAAGCAAACCUCAGUAUAUUCUCUAGGAAAUAGAAACCAAAGAGCCCAGAUUCCAAUCUUGCCUCCUCCUGGGGUCAGACUGCAGGCCCACAAAGGACGUGGACAUACAGUGGAGGCCUUGUUUAUUGCUGCCCACUUGUUCUGUAACUAAGGGUCACUAACUUUGGUGCAGUGAUUUUGAUUAUUCUCCAUCUCAUUUUGUUCCUCUUCUUUCUUCCCCUCUUUUUCUUCUAAAUCUACCUCUUCCUCUCACCUUACUAUCGUAUGUGACUUCUGUUAAGUCUCCUUAAAGGGCAAGGUGGACUUUCUUUUUCUCACCUAUAUUCUACUUCUUGAAACACAGAUACAAUGGUUGGAGCUCUAGUAGCCAUCUUGGACCAUGAGGAUAAGGGUCACGUAUAUCCUACACAUGACAGAUCAGAGAACUGGGGGCAACUCAAGAGGCUGCCUGCUUAUGAGGCCCAUAAAAGAAAUGUAACCUUCUGUUUUAAGUCAUUAUUGUUUUGUGAUUUAUAAAGACAAAGUUCAAUAAAUCUUCCCCCCUCCCCCACCAAAGAAGCUCAGAAGCAGCUCUGCAGGGCUCAGACUACCUUGGAAAACUUCCUUGGCCAGCAGAGGACUGAUGGCGCCCAUGUGUACAGCCUCUUAAAGCUUCUGCCUAGAACAACGCCUGUCAUUUCUGCUCACAUUUCACCGACUCACACAAAUUACGAUGACCACACCUUCAGGCAGUGGGGUGGGAAUGCAUAAUCCUCCCGGGGAAGGGUGGAAAAGAUCUGGAAAUAAUAAUACAAUCCACUUUAGCAGUGAAAACAGAACAACACCACCAACAAAAACAAGCAUGGAGAGGCCACGGGGCUCGCCUGGGUCUCUUGCAGGCCAGUAGGAGGCAGAGUCAGAGCCAGGGGAGACGGAUUCCAGUGCUGACGCUCUUCCUGCUCUACCUGCUCCCUCGAAAAAGGAAGAGGGUGCCUGCUAAAGCCAGGCUCACAUUCUGCGGCAGAUCCUGCUUGCAGACAAGGCCCCUUCCUGUUCUCUACCUGGGGACCCCAGUCCUAGUGGUCCCAACUCUCUCUCCUACGCUUCCUCACGUUUGCUUUCUGAAAGCACAGGGAGUAGGGACAUGUAUAGCAUCCAAGGUACCCGUCUCCGAAAUGUUCUCGUUUUUUUUUUUCCUGCUAUGUAGUUCAAGCGGGUCUUGAAUUCUAUAUGUAGCCCAGGCGGGUCUCGAACUCAUGACAAUCCUCCUAAAUAUAUUUAAAAUGUAGGCAAAAAUUGGGAGGACAGGCACAUUUCCAAGUGAGAUGCAGGCGGAAGUGAGAGUAGAUUCUGUGUUUACAUGUUCUCCCAUACCCUAAGCUGUCUCUGCAUCUUGAUCUUCUGCACCAUUAGUUCAAUUUCUGGUAGCUAAUCUGCCUUUUAACAGCCCGCAUGCAUUUAAUACUAACAUUUAUAGUUUCUUUAAUUCCCGAAACUUUCUUAUGCUCAAUUACCUCAAAAUUUCUGUCUCUGUUUCCGUUAAUUUUCUUGCAUAAUUCUUUCAUUAGUUUGCUAGCAGCCACUUACUUGACUAAGGAAAAAAACCCGAAAAGUAGCCCUUGAGCACAUUAAAGGAUAAUCAGUGUGACCGUGGACAAGGUAAAUGCAGUGAAAAUGGGAAUCUCUCCAUUUUCUCUAGUUCCACCAUAAAGAAAAAAAGUGGUAAAGUGGACAAGUUCAUUGGCGAACACAAGUUAUUGAAAGUGACACAAAAAGAAACAAAAAGCAAAAUAGGUAACUAUAAGGUACAUUUAAUCCACAAUUUAAAACCUCUGGUUAAAAAAAACCUCUUCGGAUCUAGACAGUUUUAUCAGCAACUUCUGCCAAGUACCUCACAAGACUGAGCGCAGCCGGGCAAUUGGGAGACUCAGUGAGACCCUGCCUCAAAAUACAAGAAACAUGUAAAGGACUGAAGACGCAGCCUGAUCAGAGGAAAGGCCAUGGAUUCAAUCCCCAUACUGAAAGGGGCAGGGUGGGGACAAGGGACCCAGCCCAGUGGUGGAGCACCCCUGGAUUUGACCUCAGUACCACACACACAUACACACACACAUGCACGCUUACACACACAGGAAGGAAAAAGAAAGAAAGAAAAAACAAGAUAUAUUUCGAGAAUUAAUGAACAGGAGUAGUAAGCCAUUAAAAACAAGCCAACAUGCAAGAAUUUCAUGUCCUUAUGUCAGGAAAAGCAUACAAAAUGAAACAAAAGUUAACAUUUGCAGCAGCAAAAAAAUGCAAAGCGCCUAAGAAUAAAUCUAAUAAAUUGUUACAAAGUAAACCUCCAAACAGGAGAAACAGCAAAAGAGAUGAAAAUAAGUAAGAGACAUUUACCAUGUUCAUGGAUUGGAAGGCGCAACACUGUGAAGAUGUCUAUUAUGCCCAAAUUCUUCUAUCCAUUACAUGUACUCUCAAUCAAAAUCUCCCUUUUGUGUAGGGCUUAAGAGGCUUAUUCUGAAAGGCUCAAUAAUUGCCACAUUAUUUUUAGGAAUGGAGAUUAAAUCCAGAGCCUCUCACAUGUAGGUAAAUGCUCUACCACUGGGCUACAUUCUUCAGCCCAACUACACCAUUCUUAAAUGAGAAAAAGAUGGAACUUUAAAAAAAAUAAAGCAUCAAAAGUUAUAAUAAGGGGCUGGGGAUUUAGCUCAGCGGCAUAAGCACCUGCCUUGCAAGCAGGGAGUCUUGAGUUCGAUCCCUGGUACCGAUAAAAAGCAAAAAGACAAAAAAAAAAAAAAGUUAUAAUAAAGCUAUAGGGCUUAAGAUAGUGUGGUGUAAGGACAAACUGAUUAAUCAGUGGAAUAGAGCUGUAAAAAGUUCAGAAACAACUCCAGGUGUAUAUAUACUGGUGAUUUACAAUAAAGGUAAAAGACUAGAUAAUUGAGAGUCUUUUGACAUUUGCUGCUGGUGGGAUUUUAAUGUUUUGAUGCAACUACUCUGGAAAACUGGUAUUGUAUAGUAAAGCAGAGAAUCCACACAGCCUCUGACCUAAGUUCACUCCUAGGCGUACACCAGCCGAAAUGCAUGCAUUCUAUUAAUUCUGCGGUACCAAGAGACACAUAAUGCUCAUAGCAGCAUCAUUUACAAAAGGCAGAAACCAAAAAUAAACCAAGUGACCAUCAGAAAUGGAAUGAACGAUUAUGUUUUGAUAUGUUUAGGGAAUGAUGCCCUACAGUGUGGGCAUCAUGACUAUCAUGAAUGUAGUGUGGAUCAAAAUAAGCAAGCAUAAAGGUACACACUUUUAAUCCCACUUAUAUGAAGUUUAAAAACAGAUAAAACAAUACAGGAGUUUAGGGAUACAGGGAUAGUGGAUAAAGUAAGAAACAAAAGUAAGAAAGACAACUAGGCGUGUAGCUCAUGGGAGAGUGCUUGCCUAGCACCUGUGAGGCUCUGGGCUCCAUCUCCAGUACCAUGCGCACACACACAAAUACACACACACAUGCAUAUACAUGCACACACAAAUGCACGCACACAUGCACACACACACACACACAAAUGCAUACACGCCCAUGCACACACACAAAGAGAGUAACAUUAAGAUUGUCAUUAUCCAGGGGAGCAGAGGGGGAAAGGAUAAGGGAAGCUUCUGGAAUGCCAAAUGUGAACUGUUUCUUUUUUGACCUUUGAAGGGCAGUGGCACACUGCUGUUUGGUUUAUACUAAUCCACUGAAAUGUAGGUUGUGAUUUUUUCCCUUUGUGUAUCUAUGUUUUAUAUAUAUAUAUACUUUUUUAAAUUAAGUGUUUGUUAUAAAUAGUAUUAUGGCCAAUAUUUAGAAAUAAAGAAUUAGAAAACACCGGGAAGGGAAUUUUUGGUUUGAUUAGUUUAUAUAGUCAUGAGGAGUUUUUAUCUUGGAUAUCUGUCACUUUUGCAUUUUUUCCCAAUAAUGUAACUUCUAAAUAAAUACUAGAGAACAGUAUUAGGGAAGAUAGAUUAAUCCAGAGUGAGCAGAGGCCCGUAAAAUGUGUAAAUAAAACACAAAGGCAUUUUUAAAGGACUACUCAGAGAAAGGAGGAAAAAAAGUUAAGCGCUUGGAGAUCUUGAUGUGGUAACAUAAGCAAGGUGAAGGGGAGAAAGCAGACUCAUUGAGCUUUGAUUUGGCUUCCGAACAGUCUUCCCGCUAAAGAAGACACAUCACAAACAGGGAGCGAGAGCCUAGAUGGGUGCAAACCGGCCCUCGUGAGCGCGGGACCAUCAGAGUGGUUAGUGAGGGGUCAGGCAGCUCCAAACACAGAGGUCCAGCCAGGAGUCCUCAGCGAAGUGGAAGCAUGCGGUGGACACGUCUGCAGAGAGGGAACCUGGAGGAACCUCUCCUGUCUGGGUUCAGAGCCUCCGAGGACUGAACACAGCAGACAGAGUUCAGGUAAUUUUUUUUUUCCAAUCAGAUUUUACUGGUACAUUUUAGAUAUGUAUGACGAUCAUAUUCAUCAUAAAGAAUUGUACCUGUACAUGAUAUCUUGGUUUUUUCCUCCCAUUCCCCUACCCUCCUUUCAAUCCCUCCCCUAUUUACAGAAGCUUUGUUUCCAUGUUUUCCUUCUUUUCUCAUUUUUUUUUAACAUUUCCCAUCUUUUCUUCCUCCUUCUCCCCUCCAUCGUUCCCAUCCCCAUUUGAAUAUUUUUUUCCUGUUAUACAUUUUGGUCCUUAUUUACACUUUUGGUUUCCCAACCAGAGAAACAAUGUGGUAUUUAGACAUGUGUCUGAUUUAUUUCACUUAAGAGUAUGGUCUCAAGGUGCAUCCAUUUACUUAGAAAUGUCUCCAGCAUAUCUUUUUGGUACAGUAGUACUCCAUUGCAUAUAUUAAAAAAAAUCUUUAUCCAUUCACCAGUUGAUGUUCUCAAGAUUCAGCUUUACAAACUGUGCUGCUAUAAACAUGGGUGUGCAUGUAUCGCUGUGAUAUGAUGCUUUUAUUUCUUUGGAGCAGAUACCAAGAAAGGGAAUAGCUGGGUUGAACAGAACCUCUAGUGCUAAUUUUCUGAGGAAUCCUCACACUGAUUUCCAUGUGGAGACUUUGGUAAAUUUGAUAUAGCUUAGUUGCUUUCUAGAAGAAUGGGGUGACUACUGACUACUUCAAGUGACAAACACUGAUUCAAGGUCCUAAAAUUGGGCUGGGAGGCCAGGAGCUGGGAUUUUUUUUUUUUUCUUUUCUUCGGUACCGGGGAUUGAACUCACGACAGCCUACUUGCAAGGCAGGCGCUUAUGCCACUGAGCUAAAUCCCCAGCCCCGAGGAGCUGGGAUGUUUGAUGCUGCAGUAAUAAUGGGACUCUGGAUCUUGGCAGCUUGAAGCAACAAGGCUGGACUUUUGUCCCUGGCCUUAGUUCACUGCUUGGGAGCAGCUGGAGGCUCCACCCUGCAUCUGUCUCCUCUGGGGCUGAGGCAGAGGGAGUAACCCCAUAAGGUGGGCACCGUGGCAGGGGGCAGGAGUGUGAAGAGCCAUGAGUUGGCUCUGAAAGCAACGCCCAAGAGUGACAAGGCAAGGCUUAUGGCCAAGGUUCAUUUCAAAGGGGUGAGCAAGGAAAACCCUGCUCCACGUGAGGAGGACGAGGAGCCAGAUAUAUGUGGGCACAGCACCACAGACCUCCACAGAUCUCCACAAACCAGGCCACCAGCCUCUCCUGCAGUGAUGGAAGUUUACUCAAAAUGCGGCUCUGAGGCGGGCAUGGUGGUGCACACCUGUUAUCCCAGCACCCGGGAGGUCGAGGCAGGAGGAUUGCUGUGAGUUCCAGGUUAGCCUGGGCCCAUAAGUGAGUUCAAGGCUCACUUGCAAGACCCUGUUUCAAAAAAAAAAAAAAAAGCGAACUCUGGGUAAGAAAGCAACUGGAUAGAAACUCAGCAUUUUGGCAUUGACCGGAAUCCCAGGAACAGGAUCAAGCCGGAAGGCCCAGAGCAGCCCUGCUGGUGGCUGGGGACAAAUAGCCAGGGCAGUAGAAGCAGAUAAAGGCAGCCUUCACUGGCCCCACCCUUUCUCUGCAGCAGCAAGCUCAAGAACCUUGUUUCUCUUCUUCCCUUCUGUUCAUCCUCUUCCUCUGAGCUCCUGGCUUUAGGGCUCAGAAAUGAUAUACAGUGUAUCUGUUUCAGCAUUACUUGUAUCAAUCUCUCUACCAACACAAAAACAAAAAAGAAACAAAAAGUCACCAAAAAAAAACCCAGAAAACAACAUGAACAUGCAGCAAUGGAGGUGUUUAAAUAUUUGCCAGGCUAAUUAUUUACAUAGACUAUGAAAGCUACUUAAAGUAACAUUGUAAAUGAGCAUUUGUUGGCAACAAGCUACAGGACCCUAAGUGUCCUUUUUAGGAAGAGGCUGCCUGUUGUCCAAGCAGCACCUUGCAGAGAGGGACUCAGGUGGUGUUUGCAUCUGUGCUGAUGGGCAGGAGGUGUUCAGGUCACCUGGUGCUGGCUGAGAAUUCAGGAGGUUGAAGAGUUACCAUCUGGAGACACCAGUGGCAUCAAGGACGGGACGAGGAGAUAUAUUCACAUGCCAGUGUGGCAACUGGCAUUUCUUCCAGAGCUACUGACUGAUGUCAUUUGUGUGCAAAUAAGUGUGAGAAAAUCCAACCCUGGCCAUCCUCUGGCUGCUGCUGGCCAGGAGGCUCCUUCAGGAAGUUGUGGUUGCCAGGACCUAGUGUGGAGCUGCAGAAGGGAGCACUCUCCAAGUAUGACUGUGGGAAUGUGCACAUUUCCUGGAUGUGACCAUUUUGUUUCUCUGCUCCCCAGAUUUUUAUUCCUAAAGUGAGGCUCCACAGUGUGAUUAACAACACAGGCUGCUAGAGCUGGGAUCUGGCUGUGUCACACUGAGGAGCCUUACGGGAGACAUUUGACCAUUCUGGCCUCAAUGCUGCUGAGUGUGAAAUGCUGCAAUAUUUCAGAGACUUGUGGCCAGAUAUAAAUUAAAUACAAAGGGCUUAGGAAAGAACAUUCAAUAACUAUUAAGCACUUUAAAACAUACUACAGCCUCUGAAUUUCAGCAAAGAAUUUGCGAGCCACUUUGUGGGCAAAUGGGAAAAUCUGAAACGUAAAUGGUGACUUAGUUACUUUUUUUCUCAUUGCUGAGACAAAAUACCCAGGAUUCAAAGUUAAAGGAGGAAAGGUUUAUGUAACACUCACAGUUUGUAGAGGCUCAGUCCGUACUUGGCUGGCUCCAUUGCAGGGUAGCUUAGCAAAACAGCAUCACGGAGGAGAAACAGUUCAUGACAAGCAGUAGACAGCAAAAUCAAGCAAACAGCAACCACAGCUCUUUCUAACUUUGUAUCUUAUCCAGGCUUCUCAAAGUGGCAGCACUCACAUCCUUACCCCCACUGCCCUUGAGUUUAGCAUUGCAUCAUGGGUUAGUCCCAGCAUCACACAGUCUAGAUUCAUCCACAUUUGAAAAAGCCUCAUGUAUGAUUGCAUGAGGCUUUGAGGGGACAUCUAGACCCAAGCCAUAACAAAUAAUAGAAUCUUAUGAAGUCUAGGGUGGCUGGACACCUACCAAGGAGAAUCAUUAAGGAAUUAGUGUUACCUUUCAAAGCAGUUGUUUAAUGGCGUGACUUAAAUAAGCAGUUCAGAGUGUAAUAAAGUGGUGCGUCACAUUGGUUUCUUUAAAAAAAAAAUCAUUCAAUAUUGUUAACCCUGAGGGGAAAAGGUAAGCCAUUCCCGCAAGGCAGUAUUGCACUCAGAAAUGGAAUCCUGAAGAUGACGGAUCCCAUAGAGGUGCGUGAGAAGAGGUGUACAAGGGUAUCUGGGCAAGAAACAGGCAUCAGUGUGUGCAUGGGAUGUGGUGUGUUCAUUUCUCUACCACUCGAGGAAACUGCUGGGAGCCUGGGAUCCCCAACAGGGAGCCAGGAACAACUGUGUCCCCUCAGCUCCUCUGGGACCCUAUAGGACCUGAUGGGUUGAGUGUGGUUCUAAUAUGCUGAGACAUCUAUUUCUUAUGAUACAGCCUUUAUGCAAGCCACCUCUGCCACCCAGAGCUUAACCAAAAAAUGAUUCCAAUUCAUUGAUUAAAGUCAUGACCAUUUCAAUCUGUAUCCAUUUCAAUAUUGGAGGAGAAACUGUUGUCACUUCCAGCAGCAAUAAGGCCCCUUCUGUUAGUGGCUUUCAGCUUACCUCCUGACUAAAUCCCUAAAAGACAAGGGUGGAGCUGAUCUUCCCGCCCAGUUCAUCUCCCUGGAACCCCUCAUUCCCUGACUCUGCUCUGAUUUCCCCCUCAAUGUCAUUUAUCACUUUCUAAUAUACUAUAGCAUUUACUUAUUUGAUGUCUUUAUUAUCUAUCCCCUAAGGGGGUUCAGGACAUGUCACCCCCAAAAAUGCCACAUUUAGCAUAUUAUUUUGAACUCAAAGAAAUUGAGAACUGACCCAAGAAAAGUCAGUUAUUUACUUUCCCUGAAUGAUCUAAUAUAAGUAAUGUAUUCAUCUUUUUUGUAAGGGAAAUUUUCAUUAAUACAUUUACCUGUACCAGGAAGAGAGCUAUCCUGCACAAUCUUUAUCACUUGACUUUUUUUGAUUUUUAUCGGCAUAGUAUCCAUCAGAUAUUUACCAGACGUAUUUACCUCCCCUCACACUACCAUAAUUUGUCUGCACCACUGCCCCAAACCCCCAAAUUCCUUCCUAUUCCCUUCCGUAGCUCGGGAUGCUGCAUAAACUCCAGCCACCUGGCUGCCUCCUUGGGUCUCAUGUGUUUGUGGGACUCCCACUGAGUACCUUUAGAAUUACACUUGUUUCUCUCUAGUUAAUCUGUUUUAUGUUACUGUAAUUUGAAGACAAUUCAAAGAAUCCAGAAAAGUUUCUUCUGGAAGGAAUUUUUCCCCUUCUCAAACUAUGAGCUCCAGAAGAAUGGGAUUUUUACCUUUGCUCACUGACAGACCCAAAGCAGCUAAUAUAGACAUGUCCUGGCAAUCGGCUGAUAAUUAAUAAACGUUUGUUACAGUAAUGUAUUCCAAUAGAAAAAAAGCUUUCUUUCAUUUUCUUUCUUUUUUCUUCUUUUGCUUGCUUGCUUCCUUCCUUCCUUCUUUCCUCCCAUCCUGCCUUCUUUUUUUUUUGAGACAAAGUAACCAGCCUCAGGUAUCUUAUUAUAGUAACAGACUAAUACCAGAAGAAAGUGCUGCACUUAAAACAAGGAGGACGCCCUCUUCCCAGAAGGUGCCUGUUACGAGGAGCUGGAUUUGAGAGAGGUGGGUUGGGGAACGGUUUAAUGAGUGAAUGAGGCAGUGCAUUAGAGACCAAAUGUGAUAAGUAGGGUGCCCUAUGGGGAGGCAGCCUAGCACACAGUGUCAGAGCCUUAGUCUGUUUUCUGCUGCUGUGACAGGCUUCUCAGAUUGGGCAAAUGAUAAAGAGAAACAAUUGAUUUCCUAAAGAAUUGGAUGCUGGCAGGAGCACCCACUUAUGUCCUGUGUCUGGUGGCCUCAGGGAAUCAGACUCUUACUCGGAGCUUCUCAGCUCCAGGAAGGAAUGUUCAGGGAACAAAGGCAGAUGCUACAUCACCUUUGCUGAUCUGGCCUUUGAAGCCACACAGCGUCAUUUCUGUGACCUUCUUGUGCUCCAAGCAAGUCACAAACCUGCCCCGAUUCAAGAGGAAGGAAACACAGACUGUGCGCCCCCCAGCCUUGUUGAAGUCAUGUUGUCAAAGAACAUGUGGUGCAAACGAUACUGUUGCUACUAUUUUUGUAAAACACAAUCUGUUGCAAAUAUCAAUGUUUGUUUCCUGAUUUUGCUGGUGGUGUUGUGUUUAUGUAGAAAUAUGCAGCAGAGUAUCUGGUGGGUGGUGGGGCAUCAGAUCACAAGCAAUUCCAGGAAUAAAAAGUUCUUUAUAUUGUAUCUGCAACUUUUCUGUAAGUUUGAGAUGGUUUUAAAAUACAAUAUACUUAAAAUUCAGUAAGGAGGUACACAUCCUGAUAGAAAAGCAGAUGGAUAUUUGAAUAGGUAUAUUAUGAAGAAUAAGCAGAACUGGUAAACACAUAAUAAAAUGUUCCCUCAUGGUAAUCCAACAAAUGCAGAUAAUAAAUAGCAAGUGGAUGCCCUUGCAAAGAUUUUUAUCAUACAAACCAUUGGUGGGAUUUAUGAUAACAUGUCAAAUGGCUGCAAGAACUAUCACAUUACACGUAUGCCAAUUAAUUAAAUCAGGCUCCUACUAUUGGAUAUUUUUUUUAAAAACCCAAAUAAUCCUAUAGUUAAACUAUUUGUGUAUGAAACUUUAUACAUACCUUGAAGUGGGAUUAUUAAAGACUGGUCUCCCUGGGGGAUGGUGCCAAAACACUGCUGCCUGAUCACUGAGUUUGUGUCUCAACAGAUUUUAUACAUCUUGAUACUGUGUCUCUCACCGACUUGGAUGCACCCCAAGGAACAGAGGGAAUAAUAUUCCAGCUGCCCUCCCUCUGCCUGGCCUCCAGGAGAGGCAGUGCAGAGCUGGCUGUUGGUGGACCCCCGUCCAGCCAAGUCUGGGAACACAGCCUCUGAAUUAUAGGUUGAAGCACCUUAAAUUAUUGGCUUCCUGAGGAUCUAACUGACAUUUGGUGAGCCAGAAAACAAGAGGCAAACACAGCUCUGUUUACACAGGCACCUUCUCCUCGCUUCAGCCCUAAGGGGCUGAUUUGGGUCUCUUGGCUAAGUUGCAGUGUGACCCUCAUCCCCUCCACAGGGCACACGGAUGUCCUGAGCCACAACACCAUCCCUGCAGGUCUAGUCUGCCAGGGCAGACUCACAAGCUGCAAGCUCUUCUCAAACACUGUGCGUCCUGAGUUUAUCCAUCUGCAUCACGAAACUUGCAGAAAGCUGCCCUCCAGCACUGGACUCCCAGCAGCCGUCUGUGAGGCGAGGUCUCAUUCACUGCCCACUUCCUUGACUCUCUAGCUCAACUGCCAAUUGCUUCAACCCACUUAUUCUACCUCUGUGCCUCUUUGCAGUCUCUCACAAGGUCUUGGUAGUUGCAAUACAUGAAAUUGAUAAAGGAGUAGAACCUACACUAUAUAAAAAGCUCAAACAAAUCACUAAACAAAGGAGAGACAUUUAAAAAUUGCCAAAAGAAUCUGAAAUGGAGACCAUAGAAGGAAAAACCCAUUAAAAGUCAAUAAGCCUAUGAAAGAAUGUUCAAUUUCACUUGGAAAAUUUUAUACAACAUUGAGAUGCAAUUUCACACUCAUCAAGUUGGCAAACUGUGUUUAAUUUGACAACACUAUCAUGAGACAGUUGUAGAAAUACGGAGGCUUUUACGUAGAUGAUGAAAAUAUAAAUUGGAAUGUCUAUUUUUGGAGAGCAAUUUGGCAUUAUCUAGCAAAGUUUAAAAUAUAUACAUAAAUAAUAACCCAACUAUGGUGUAUUAGAGGGAAAUGUAAGCCUAGCAAGUGGUGCACACUUAUAAUCCCAACACUGAGGGAGGCUGAGGCAGAAGGAUCACAAGUUUGAGACUCACCUGGGUAAUUUAGUGAGACUAUCUUGGGGGGAAAAAAAAGCUGAAGGUGGAAUUAAUAUUAUUAAAGUGGCUAUAUUACCAAAAGCAAUAUACAGAUUUAACAUAAAUCUCUACUAAAUCAUCAACAACAUUUUUACAGCACUAGGAAAAAAAUUCCUAAAAUUUAUACAGAACCAGAAGAGACCCAGAACAGCCAAAGUCAUUUUGAGCAAAAAGAGCAAAGCAAGAAGCAUCACAAUUUCCAAUUAUAAAGCUAUAGCAACAAAAACAGCAUGGAAAUGGCACAAAAAUAGCCACAUAGAUCAAUAGAAUAGAAUAGAAGAUUCAGAAAAAACCCCAAGUGCCUACAGCCAGUUGGGAUUUUUUUGCUUUCAAGCCAAGGCCACACUACUGAGUUCAGGCUGGUCCUGAACUCAUCUGCCAGCCCAGGCUGGCCUUACCCUUGCAGUGGUCCUCCUGCUUCCAAGUGCUGGGAUUACAGUGGUGCAUCACAUCACCAUAUCUGAUUUUUUAAAAAUUUUAUUUAAGGAGAAAAAAAAAGGGUACAAGUUAUAAAGAAUUUCAGAAAAAAUAAACAGUAGGAAAUCACUACUUAAUAGAUUACAUAUUGUCAUCUUAGAAAUAGUUGUUCAUUGAGGACCUAAAAAGACUUCAUCAUCCUGUAGUGAUUUGAUUAGUUCUAUAAUAUGCAAUAAGUAUAUAAAGUGGGUGAAGAUAGGGACAACUAUUUGUAAGAAGCUAGAGACAGUUAGAUAAAGAAGAUCUCCAGUGGACUUGCUUUGAAAUCUGUAUUUCUUUAAAUUGUUUUUUAUUUUUUUUAAAUGUUCUGUUCUGUUUUGAUAUGGUUAAUCUUACCCUCUUUGAGAUGUAAAACAAAUGUGUAGGACUGAUAAUCAUAUUACUGAGCUUUUGUUCGAUCAUAGAGCAGAAUGGUUUGUAGGGUCACUUUUUUGAAUGUCAUUCUUAAUACUUUAAUUCUAUAACCUGAACAGCUAUUUCGAAGAUGACAAUGUGUAACUUAUCAACCGGCAAUUUCUUACCUUUUGUUUGUCUGUAAUUUUGUAUUAUUUCUACCCUUUUUUUUUUUAUCUCCAUGUAUUUUUUUUUCGUUUCCUUUUCUUUAAAUAAAAAAGAAAGAAAGAAAAAAAAAAAGAAAUAGUUGUUCAGGUUACAAAAUUAAAGCAUAUAAAGUGGACAUUCAAACAGUGAGACUGCAAACAGUUCUGUUCAAUGAUCCAACAAAACUCAGUAGUAUGGUUAUCUAUCUUAUACACUUAAAUAUACAUGCAGUUAUGUCCUUUAGAGCACUUUCUUUUCCGCUCUUUUGUACAAUGACAAUUAUACAUUUUGGGUUUUAUUACUCCCACAGUUCUUAUUACUUUUUUUCUGAAGAAAGUAAAACCAAAUGUGACAGAACAGAGUCAGUCAAAUCAAAAGGAUGGACAUAAUACAUAAUGUAAAAACAAAAUACAAGGUCAUCAACAAUGGUUACCACAAUGCCUCUUACUAUCUUAAAAAGAAUUGCCUAUAUCAUCAGUUAUAAUAUAAUUGAACAAAACAGUAAAGAACAAAACCAAUAAAACCAAAACAUUGGAGACAUUACAGGACUUCAAAAGAAGAUAAUAGUCAAAUGAGAAUGGGCGUCAUAAUGAAUCUUAUUGUCUUCACAGUUGUUGCCUAUACUCUCGAACUUGGUACUAUCAAGCAAAACAGAAUAGCAUAAAAUCAGUCAAAACAAGAUUGUGAGAGCAAUAUAGGGUUUCAAAUCAAGUUAAUAGGAAAUCAAAGUGGGUUACUAUAAUAUAUCCUGCUAUUUUAAUUUAUUUUUCCCUUAAUUAAAAAGAUAAAAAUAAAAAAGUAAAUAAUAAAAAAAGGAGAUAGAGAUAAAAGAGCACAUAACAACAAAACAGCACAGGUCAAAACAUAACCAUUUAAGCAAAAUAGUGUUUCACCACAAGAGAUCCUGACAUAAAAGUAGUUACCAUAGUGUCUCUUUCCUUGAAGUCUUUGAGUAUAACUCCGUGUACUGUAGCAUCAAACGUAUCAAGACAAUGUAAAACCAUUCAAGAGAAUGACAGUAUUACAGGGUAUUUAGAACCAACUAACAGAAAAUGAACAAUGGUUUCUGUAUAAUCUCCUUGUCUAUAAAAUUUUUAUUUAUAUUAUCACAUAUAAUAAAAUCCAAUAAGAUACAACAUGUUUAAGACCAAUGGAGACAGAAUAAUACAAGUUUGAUGGGACUUCAAAACAAGAUGAUACUAAAUCAGCACUAGCUAUUAUGAUGUCUUGUUUCUCCAAAAUAGCUGUUCCUACCAUCCAAUCUUCUCUGCCCCAUUUCUGUUGAGCUCUUUUUCUGUCAGUUUGUCUUCUUUGUUUCUCUUUCUGCUCCAUUCAUUGUGGCCUCUCUGCCACUGUUUCAGGAAUCUUGGUAUUUUUCUUUUUUUUUAAAUGUCCUGCAGUAUUCUCUGUAGAGUUGAAUUGGUGGUUGCAAAUUCCCCUAGUUCCUCUUAAUCCUGGAAGCACCUUGUUUUUCCAUCAAUUUCUAGGGACAGUUGUGCAGGAUAUAUCAAUCUUGGAUGGAGGUUAUUAUCUUUCAAAGCUUGAGUUAUUUCCCCCCACUCUCUUUGAUGGUUUGUGCCAAGAAGUCUGCUUUGAUGGUUUGUGCCGAGAAGUCUUCUGUAAUUCUGAUGGGUGUUCCCUUGUAAGUGAUCUGUUUCUUGUCUCUGAUGGUUUUUAAUAUUCUUAUAUUGGGUUUCUGGAAUUUUGAUUAUUAUAUGCCUGGGUGUAGUUCUGUUUGGGUUGUAGUGGCUGGGGUCCUGUAUGCCUCAUACAUCUGAGUAUCUUUACCUUUUGCUAAAUUAGGGAAAUUCUCUUGGAUUAUUUCUGUGAAUAGCCUUUAUAGUUCAUUGUUUGUGUUCCUACUUCUUCUUUUACGUUCUUAAUUCUUAAGUUAUAGAUCCUCUUAUCAUCUUCUAGCCUUUGUAUUAUUGCUGUUUGUUUCGUUGUUAUUUUUAAGAAGUUUUUCAUUUCAUGCUCCCACAUUACAAAUAUGUCCUCCAGGUCAGAUAAUCUAUCCUUAGUUUCUUUCAAGCUGUUAUGCCAGUUUUCAAUAGAGUUUUUAAUUUCCUGGUAAUCUCUUUGAACCUGCUUCACGUAUUCUAUGUUUUCUCUAUUUUCUCCAUCAAACAAUUCUCCCCUUUUUUUCUGUUCUUCCAUUCCACCACCACCAUUUUCUUGGGUGGUGCUUAGCAUUUCUCUAACUAUUCUACUUAUAUUUUGCUUUACUUCAUUAAAUACUUCACUUUUGAACUCGUCUAUGAGGCUCCGGAGAUAUUGCUUUACGUCUAUUGGUGCCGUGUCUGAUAUUGCAUGUUUUCUGUCCUCAUUCUCCUUUGCAUUUACCUUUCCUGGAUCAGUGUUCUCAGGAUUGGGGGCCGAGGACCCUUUCUUGUUGUUCCCUCUUCCCAUACUUUUUGUUCCUUCUAUACAAGGCGUUUAUAGGAGGCCCAGUUUCUUUCUUUGUUGGUUAGUUUGUUUGAAUUGCGCUGGCUAGGUGUUCCCACACACUGCAGUGUACUAGGGAGACAGAGACCUGGGCAGCCUCUGCUGGGCCCGCCCCUCUAGGUCAACCCACUGAAGGCUUCACUACUAGGGUGCACCUCCAGGCGCUGGGACCUGGUUUGGGCUAGCCUACUGGGUCUUAGUCUGCGGCAUCACCCAGGCCAAGUGCUCCCCACCAAUACUGCUUGAGAGGGGAAUAUGCGACUAAAGUCACUGCAGUGUCCUGUUCUGGCUAGUCUGCCCAGUCCAGAAUGUCCUCUGUUGGAGCCUCCUUAUGUAUGGAGGGGUCCCUGUUCCUCUCUCUCACCGCAGGUCAAUGCAGAUCUCCCUGCUAGUCCCGCUCUCAACUCCGUUCGCUGAUUCCCGCUCUCAGAGGUUUCACGUUUCUAUCUCUGCUGUGCCGAUUCAGGCGCAGCAGCGGUGGCAGGAAAUUCAAAUCGUGGCUUCCAGAGUCGCAGGUUUCAUCUUCAGUGCUGAGAUUUUAUCUGUUCUGGUUAUAGCACUGGGAUUGCAUUUCCAGUUGGUUUCUCUCAGCUUAGUUCGUUUCUGGGUCGGCAGGGUAUAUCUCCCCUUGCUUAGGACUCCUCACACCGCACCAUUCCUGGAUUCUAAGCUGGUUAUCUCGGAGAACCUCCAUAGCUGCUGUUAUCUAUCUGCCAUGUUCUCCCAGAAGUCUACCAUGUCUGAUUUUUGACAAAGGCUUAAAAGCAUACCCUGGGGAACAGAUUACCUCUUUAACAAAUGGUGCUGGGAAAAUUGGUUGUCUACACGUAGAGGAAAGAGCCUGGACCUAUAUCUUUCACCCUGUACUAAAAUCAAAUAAAAAUAGAUAAAUGAUAUAAAUAUAAAAACUUCUGGAAAAUAACAUAAGGAGAAUACAUGAAGUGACAGGUACAGGCAAUGAUUUUUUUCACAGAAUUCCAGUCGCAUAAGAAAUAAUACUAAGAAUCAAUACAUGGGACUACAUCAAACUAAAAUGUUUCUGCAUGGUGAAGGAAACAAUCCACCAUGUGAAGAGACAACCUGCUGAAUAGGAAAGCAUUUUUGUUAGCUGCUCUUCUGACAGAGAACUAAUAUCUAGACUACAUACAGAACUCAAAAUAAUCAACACCCGCAAAAUAAACAGCCCAAACAAAAAAUGGUCAAAUGAACUGGAUACACAGUUCUCACAAGAAAAGUACAGAUGGCAUAUAAAUACAUGAAAACAUGUUUAUCACUUUUUACUCGUUGCUGAGAUAUCAUCUUUGGCAAAUGAAAAAACCUGUGAGAUUCCAUCUUACUCCAUUCAGAAUGGCUACCAAGAACUCCAAAAAGCUCCAGAUGCUGGUGAAGAUGUGGAAAGAAAGGAAUCCUUCCACACUGUUGGUAGAAAUAUAAAUUAGUACAUCUGUUGUAGAAAUCAGCAGGGAGAGGCCUCAAAAAGCUAGAAACAGAAAUUCCACUUUACCUAGCUAUACUUCUUCAGGGUAUAUUCCUAACAGAGUUUUAAAAAUCCCACCAUAGAGCUGGGGAUUUAGCUCAGCACCCUAAGCACCUGCCUGGCAAGCAUGAGGUUGUGAGUUCGAUCCCCGGUACAAACAAACAAAUGAAAAAGCCCUGCUAGAGUAAUGCUUGCAUACUCAUGUUUAUAGCAGCACAACUGACAAUAAAUGGGCUCUGCAAACAGACUUGGUACCCAAUAAUGCAUGAACGAACAGAGAAAAUGGGGUAUAUAUGUACAUGGGUGUCUUAAUCAUGAAGAAGAAUGAAACCAUGGCAUUUGCAGGAAAAUGAAUGGAUCUCAAGACCAUAAUGUUAAGUAAAUCAGGCCCAAAUAUAAAUUAAUUAAAGAGAAAAAUAAACAGACUUUUUGGAGUUGGGGUAUGGGAGGGAAGGGGAGAAGAACGGGAAGAGGGAUUGGAAAAUGAUGGAUAUAAUAAUAUAUGUAUCUAUAUUCUCAACACCCCCAAAUGAAAAUAUUAUGUAUGGUAAACAUAGACCAAUAAAAAAAAGAUGUAAAAGGAAAAGGGCUGGGCGCAUAGCUCAGAGGUAGAGCACCCUAGUUUGGUCCCCAGCACUGCACCAAGAAUUUUUAAAAAGCCAAAUGCACAUUCUUUGGCGCUCAUCCCACUGAGGAAUGGAGUCUAUUUCUACUUCCCUACAUCCCGGUUGGCCUACAACUUGUUUUGACCAAAAGAAUCCUGUGGGAGCAGUGCUUUGUAAUUUCAAGGCCGUGCCUUAAAAGAGCCUCAGGCUUCCGUGUUGGUGUUCAAGACGCUCCUUCCUGGAACUUGCACCAUGCCAUAAAGAAGGCCCAGCUCGCCACAGGAAACCCCAGGUCUUCCACUCAUCCCAGCAUCUGGCUGACACCACAGCAGAUAGAAGAACCUGCCACAGAAAAGUAGUUAGUUCUCACUGUUGGCUGUAAAUUCCUUAAAUAGCUGUAGGAAGUGGAAACACAGCUGUUCCAUCACUAGGUGUAUACUCUGGAGAUAGUCUCCUAUGUGGGCACAAUGACAUAGGUACAGUAUCUGUGCAUUUACCACAGCAUUCCCUAGAAUGGUUCAAAAGAGGAAGAAGAGGAGGAGGAGAAGGAGGAAGAGGAAAAAGAACAGGAGGAGGAGGAGCAGGAGGAGGAAGAGGUGACCUAAUGUCCACUAACAGGAGCCUGGGUAAAUAAAUAAAGAAUAGUUACGCAACAGAACACUGCAUAGCUCUCACAAUCACAAGCCAGGCCUACGUACGUCACCCAGGAUACAUCUAACAAAAUAAUACAUAAGAAAGGAGGCUGCGUGGCUCCUUCAUGAAAAAGGUACAAUCAUGCAAAACAACCUCAUGCAUGUUUAUGGAUGCUUUUGUGUUUAGCCCAAAAAACAUGUUUAGGAUGAAAAGCCACAGUCUUGGGCCCUCUGUGAAGAGAGAGGAGGAUGGCGGGGAGGGAUGGCAGAUCCCGGGGCUUCGAUGUCUCCUCCACAUUCUGUGGUCCCAUCAACCCCAAAGAAGCAGCUCCGUGUGACACAGCUGCCUGGCUUGAUAGGGGGCAAGGUCUAGAGGGUUAAACUCAAAGUCUUGAGCCUAAAUAUUCACUAUAACCUGAACAUUUAUGCUCCUUCCCCAAGAUCCUAAGCCCCAAAGUGAUAAUAUUAAGAAGGCCUUUGGGAGGAGAUUAGGUCAUAAAGAGACCCCUGUCCCUACUGCCAUGUGGGGACACAGCAAGAAGCCCCCAUCUAUGAACCUGAAAGCAGGUCCUCACCAUGUCUCAAUGUGCCAGCAUCUUUUUCCUUCUUUGGUGGUACUGGAGAUUGAAUCCAGGCCUUUGCACCCUGCUUCAUCUGCAGCCCAUUUUAAAUUUUCAAACAGGUUCUUUCUAAGUCUCUAAGUUGCUCAAGCUGGACUCAAACUUGCAACCACCCUGCCUCAGCCUCCUCCAGUACUAGGAUUCCAGGCUGCGCCACUAGGUCUAGCCUGCUGGUAUGUUGACCUUACAGUUUCUCUCCUCCGUAACUAUGGGAAGUACAUUUCUGUUGUUCCAAGUUUCUUUGUCUAGCAUGUGUUGUUAUGGCAGAGGAAGCUGUCUAAAGUAUUUUCACAUACUGUCCACAUUUAGACUCCUGGGUAUCCAUGAUGCCCAGGGAGGAGCUGGCACCUGAAGCACAAGGUCAUCGUAGCAGGGUAGGUGGACCAGGGCCUUAGGGCCCCCCUUCCUCCCUUCACUUUCCCCUUCCCUCUGUACUUUCCUUCUGUCACCUGGCAUCUUGGAACCCAGGAAUGGCAUGCAGAAUGCAGGCUCUCUUAGUCCCUCUUGGAGAAAGGUCAGCUACGAACUAAAUCUCACUCUUCCUAUAGAAAUGCACUAAUUAUCCAGCCUUAGGAGGCUCCACGUAUACUCAGGAGCCACUGUUUUAAGAAACAGCUGAUAUCCCCCAACAGGGCUUCCCUCCUGUCUUCCUUCCUCUGUCUCCAGGGCUGGCUCAUCCCAGCGUCUUCCCAAGCAUUCUGAGGCUGCUUCUUACUCUGCUCACUUGUUUGGUGAUUGGUGCUCCUGGGCUGUGUGCACACAGGAGCCUGGUGAGCUUCUAACAAGGCAGGCACAGCCCUCUCCACACUGCACGCUGAGUUUCAGGAGAAGCAGCAGUGUGGAAAGGUGUGGAAGCACAAGGACUUAGAGUCCACUAUGGCCAGACGAAUUUGUUUCUAGAGCCUCAACCUCCCUGGGCCUCAUGGUCCACAUCUGCAAAAGAAUAGGGGGAAACUGGGGGACUUCCCUGACUUCCAGCUGGUGCACUGGGAGGGAGCUACUGGCAUUUAGAACAGGCUGUCUUUGUUGUGGAGGAUUAUCCCACAUGUUAUGGGAUGUUUAACAUCCCCGGCCUCCGCUCCCUCAGUGUCAGCAAUGUCUCCGGUCCUUGGGAAAACCAAGAUAAAUUUCCCAGUCAACUGUGUCAGCCUAUAAGCCAGUCAAGAGCCCUGAACUCCCUGACAGCAAGAACCAUGAUUUUGGGUCACCAUGCCUGACUACCCUGCAGGGACUCUGUGCAUUUACCCCUUUCACAUACUUUUGUUUUUAAUAAUAAAAGCAUCCCAGGGCAGCUGUGUGAUUUGCAAACACUUGUGCAACACAACACAGUGACCACUGCUCUCCCCAGGCUGCAGCCAGGCCAGAGGAUGACCCUCACCUUAUAAGUCCUGGAGCUCAGCUCGACUGGACUUGACUGUCCAGAACCCCAAGCCCCUCGAUGGGUGAGGUGUCAGAGAGGGCGUGCCAGAACCCAGGGUGACAGCAUAGAGCUCCAGGGCACAGUGACAUGAUCCUUUCAGCCAGACUGGCUUGACUUUAAGCCAAAUGACCUGCCCUCUCCAGCUAUUCAGCCGGGUCAUGGGCUCUCAGCCCAGCUCAGUCCAGUGAGCACUGUGGAUAUGUCCACCCCAUGCUCGCAGCCUCUUUGGGGCGGUAUAGGCACUGCCCCUUGGGUGUGAGUGACACCACCCACCUCUGAGCCUAUUUCCUCUUUUGUACAUAGAAAUCACACGAUGCAGGAGUCACGUAGUAUAUCCAGAGGACAAACGUGCAGUCUUAGGUGCUGCUGUCUGUGACUCUGUUCCUUCCUCCUCCCUUCCUGCCAAAAGACCUCCCCAUGUGUGACAAAAAACCCUGACUGUGGAAUCCGGUCCUCGAGCAGGUAUUUUCUAGCUGGAGGAUUUUUAGUGAUUUUACUUCUCUGAGCAUCUGAUAGCUAUGAAAUAAACAGGAAAACUAGUGCUGAUCUUCCUACCUACAGAAGCUGUCCUGACAAUCAAAUGAGUUAAGGCUUUGGAAAGAUGUUUUUGCAAACCAAAAAAAAAAAAAAAAUCCAAUACACCCUCACAUCUGCCUCAAUCCUAUUUUCUUGCCCAAA